CCUUGACAUCCAGAGAACUUAGCAGAGAUGCUUGGUGCCUUCGGGAACUCUGAGACAGGUGCUGCAUGGCUGUCGUCAGCUCGUGUUGUGAAAUGUUGGGUUAAGUCCGCAACGAGCGCAACCCUUAUCCUUUGUUGCCAGCGGCUCGGCCGGGAAACUCAAAGGAGACUGCCGGUGAUAAACCGGAGGAAGGUGGGGAUGACGUCAAGUCAUCAUGGCCCUUACGGCCAGGGCUACACACGUGCUACAAUGGCGCAUACAAAGAGAAGCGACCUCGCGAGAGCAAGCGGACCUCAUAAAGUGCGUCGUAGUCCGGAUUGGAGUCUGCAACUCGACUCCAUGAAGUCGGAAUCGCUAGUAAUCGUAGAUCAGAAUGCUACGGUGAAUACGUUCCCGGGCCUUGUACACACCGCCCGUCACACCAUGGGAGUGGGUUGCAAAAGAAGUAGGUAGCUUAACCUUCGGGGGGGCGCUUACCACUUUGUGAUUCAUGACUGGGGUGAAGUCGUAACAAGGUAGGCGUAGACGU
rnacentral:rRNA from 1 species